GUUUACGAACUCCGAGUGGUGAAGGAAAGUGCCAAGAAAAGCUGUGUAUGUGAUGAAGAUAGAACACCCGUACCCGAAACCGACACAGGUAGGGAGGUUGAGAAUACCAAGGGGCGCGAGAUAACUCUCUCUAAGGAACUCGGCAAAAUGGCCCCGUAACUUCGGAAGAAGGGGUGCCCACUGAAUAAGUGGGUCGCAGUGAAGAGAUCCAAGCGACUGUUUACCAAAAACACAGGUCUCCGCCAACUCGCAAGAGGACGUAUGGGGGCUGACGCCUGCCCAGUGCCGGAAGGUUAAGGAAGCCGGUCAGCGAAAGUGAAGCUGGCGACUGAAGCCCCGGUGAACGGCGGCCGUAACUAUAACGGUCCUAAGGUAGCGAAAUUCCUUGUCGGGUAAGUUCCGACCCGCACGAAAGGCGUAACGAUUUGGAUGGUGUCUCAGAGAGAGACUCGGCGAAAUAGGAAUGUCUGUGAAGAUACGGACUGCCUGCACCUGGACAGAAAGACCCUAU
rnacentral:rRNA from 1 species